UCAGUACCUGCGUCAAAAGCAACUGUUAUGCCAUAGGGGGUUGAGAGCGAGGCAGGGGUUGCAGAAGUGGUCUGGUCUGCCUGGGGCCCGAGCAAGCAUUUAAUCUGGCCCUGGUUGUAACUUGUGCCCACAGCUAGAAAAUAGGAUUGAGGGAACUCGGGAGCGAGACACAGCCCCAAAAAAAAAAAAAAAAAAAAACGCGGCAUCGUCUACAACUUCGCUGCAGCUUCUCGCGCUCAGACUUCGCCCCAGUGGGAUUCCCUUCUGAGAUCUGCAAACCGACGCCAUUUUUAGUUUUGAGUCCACGCCAUUAGCGAGUCCUCCAGAACAACGAGAGCUUUCGGCUCAGCUCUGCAGAACACAGCGAGCAGAGACAGCGUCGGGCAGCCUGCGUUUCGAACGGCACCCGUGGAAACCUACACCCCUCCUGAACCUACAGAGGACUUUUUUCGGUGAAGUCUAUGAAUAAAUCCAUCUCCUGUAAAAGCUCCGUGGUCAGACCAGAGCCUGAAAAUCUGUAAACAAGGCAGAGAGGGACGACUCCGUGACACAGACAGCUUGAUCUGACCUUUCGUUCCGCGGCACUCUGGGAACAUUGGGAGCAUCGAUCCAAUCCGGGGUGUGCCGACGGUCCUGUCUACCGCAUGUCAGCCAUAAAUGACAAGUGAUACCGGGGCAAAGUCUCUGGAUGUCUACUGGGGGGGGGCGGGGGCGAAGAAGGAGAGGGGACAAGGUAAGAGCAAUGGUUGCUAUGUCCUCACUCUAAGUGGGAGUUUUUUUUUUCAUGCGAUAAUAACCAGGCAGUGGUAACCCUUGGCUACGUGGGAGACCUGCUGUGUUCCAGCGCUGAAACUGAGCUUCCUGUGAGUGCAUCAACACCUAAUUCUUAUGCCACUGAAGAAAAAGUUAAGAAAAAAUUGCGAAGUCAGUCUAGACCCUUAUGAUUCAAUAUAUCCAAGUUCAGCAUGUGUCAAUAUCCUGCUCCAUUAUGGCUUGAUCGAGGGUCCAUACCAGCGGUGAAGAAUCGUUGCGAAUUCAGACGUAGUCCUGCACAGUCCGAGGCCAAACGGGCCUGGCUGUGCUAAAACAUGCAUGCAUCUGAAGGCUACUGAAAACAAACAGUCUUCACAUGCAUGACUGAAGAUACGGUUUUCCCCAAAUUCACACGUUUGAUGGAUUGACUACACCGAGAUAGUUGGCUUGCUAGUAACACAUAUUUAACAAGUUAAUUUGUUUUGUGUUUAAGUUUUUUUUAUUAGUUUAUAUAAAUUACAGGAACAGGAAGAGAAAAAAACAAAGCUCGUCCAAUUUCAUAUAGUAAUAGAUUAUCCUUAGAGGUCAAGAAACUACUGACUUGUAUGAUUCACAAUUAUACACCACUGACUCCGACUCUGGGGAAAAACAUAGUUAAUGAAUACCUCAGCUUGGCUCUCUCUUUGUUCUCUCGUGAUCUAUCAUGUUCUCAUACUGUAGUGUGUAGCUGUGUCCUGCGUCUCUCCAUCCAUUUCAAGCCCAAGAUACAGUGCCUUCUACAGGUCAUCCAUUUAAAAAAAAUGUCUGUGGCUGGAAACGGUUGUCCAUGUGGAACAGGAACUGUAGUGAUAUAGUAUAGUUUAGGUUUCCUUCCUGUGUGGAAUUGGUAACAUGGAUAAAGCUCUUGGUCAAGGCAUGUUCAUCUCGCUGUAUUAGAUCUUUUUUUUUUUUGACAUCUUGCCUCGGCUUCUGAAUUCCAGAACACUGAAAGGACACUAAAUCUACCCAGUAUUCCCUAUUAUCAAUGUGAAAAUGUACUGUUUGCUGGCAAAUUGGUUAAUGUUAUGGAAUUCCUCAGAGCUUCUUCAGGCUCUAAGACCUAAUGUGUUUGCCAUUUAGCUGAAAUAAGCAGUGAAAUAUUGAGCUAUGGUUAAAUAGGUUACAGUACAAUCCAAUACUCAGUGCCUUCUACUCACAGUCCGCCUCCACAUAAAUGUUUUUCUUUCUC